rnacentral:rRNA from 1 species
AAACCGCUUAGGGGUUAAGCCCGAUGAACCUGAAUAUCUGAAAUGAGAAAUUCAAUAACAUUUUUAUUGUGCGCGUUCUGCGCGCAUGCGUAAACUAUGUUGUGCACUUUUCUCAUAGUAAGACAUUGCAAUCCAUUAGUUUUGAUUUAUGGUUUAUCAAACGGCCCGUUCGUUUAGCUUAUUCUAUCUGUGAUAAUUUCACAAUUGUCAUAUGAAUAAAAGCAUAUAACGCGGUGUCCCGGUAAACGGCUGAUGGAGUUUUACAAUCAUGCAAACAUGUUUGCCAUGUAUCACGAUUCGAAAAUAUUUUAUUUUCGUCUAUUUUGAUGUGAUCGCAUGUAUUUGAUUAGCAAUGCGAUAGAUUUGGGAUACCUUCGGGACCCGUCUUGAAACACGGACCAAGAAGUCUAACAUGUGUGCGAGUCAUUGGGUAUUUAAUGUGUAAACCUAAAGGCGCAAUUAAAAUAACUAUUUUAUUGGGAUUACAAGCAAUUUAUUAUUGAAUUGAUUCUCCAUCCCGGGGCGUUCUAUAUGAACAUGUUGCAAGCGAUUGUGUCCUCUGUUCGAGAGCGUACCUUGAGCAUAC